GAAUCCUUAACAACACUGAAAUUGAAAACCUGUAACAUUACAUGACGUAGAACGCGAUUUAUUAAUGUAAAUUUACAAUUUAAAAAAAGCUGAAUCUUUAACAGCACUGAAUUCUAAUGACACAAAUAUUACUUGACACGGAACGCGAUUAUUUGUUGUAAAUUUACAUCACAUAUGAUGUAAAUGAAAAGAAGCAUCAUAUAUAACGGAAUAUUCAAUGCGAAUUGAACAUUACACGUAUGAAAAUUUUACACGUUUUAUUUUUACGGGUCAUAUUUAACUCGCACUGAAAAUUCCGUCACGAUAUAGAAUGAUAUAAUGAAACGUAAAAUUAAUUUUAUUGUAAAUUCAAUAAGCGAAUGAAAAUUACACUAAAUUCAAAUUCAAUCCUUUAAAUCAUCUGAGAUCAUCAAUAACAUCAAUCAUGUUUAAGAAAAAACAUGGCUUUAAGGGUUAAAAGUGAGGUUUUUCAGUGUUCGUUAUACCGUGGUUAAAACAUAAUUACUCCGUGAUUUAAGCGUCGAUCUGAUUCAUUUACACCGUACAAAGUUACACCGAGGGAGAAAACGCUGUAAACAAAACGUCAAAAAUCAAACCAACAACAACAAGUGUAAACAAAGAAGAUCAAAAUUCCAACCCGUAGAAAUUCGGUGUUAUCGGCGCUAUCGCGUUCAUGAAACCGUCUCGAACACCGUCGCGGAACCGGAGACAUCGUUUUUUUCUGCUUUUGCUAUUUAUGAAGAAUCAAAAUUGCGGGGUUUCAUGCCGUUGACCCACUUUUUCCGGAGGAACCAAGAUCAUUUGGAAAACACUUUACCGGUUGGAGUUCAUGUUGUUGCUUGAAUUCCGGUUCUGCGAUGUACACGAAACGUUUGGGUGUGAGCAAAUCCGAAAAGCUACUUGAUAAACCGAGGAUAAGGGGAUUCCUUGAGGACCAAAAGUAAAAAUACGAAGUUGCAGCAACAGGCUUGUGUUGAGGUUUGUUAUUUGCAAGAAAAAAAUUUCAAAAUUUUAAUGAACAUUUCGCAUAACAUAUUCCAGUAAAGCCCAAGCGAUGCGACACGGUUCCGGUCGAGAAAAAAAAGCAAUUUACCAAUACAACUUUACUCAAUCGGAAUUCAAACUGGAUCUGCGGAGAUGUCAUUCAGAUACGUCUGUGUGGCGCAAGAGCCGCAUAUGCUAUUUCCUACAUCCAUCGGAAGUCGAUGUUGCCCCCUGAGGCUAGCUCGUCAAAUUCAUCAAACACACCCAGCGAGAAGUCAAAAUAAGGAACGUCUACAUCCGUUUAUCCGUCUCAGUGUCACCAUGUCUAGAAUCACCAUGCGGCCAACCAAAGUGAUACGCUCUUUGCCAGGAAGGGCUAGUACAACGAAAAAUCUAAUCUAAUGCCCAAUCUAAUCUAUUGUUUACAGUUCAAGUGGGAAUGAACGUGAAAAAUGAACGUUUAUCAAUAACUUAAAAAACGCGACACAACUGACUUGUGUUACAUGGUGAAAUCGAUGGGGAAUAGUUGAAAGAUGAA